GUGGAAAGGCCUCAGUACAGCCUCGGUCUGGCCUGGAAACUGUUUCGGGAUUUUGAGUCUCUGUGCUUGUGAAUUCUGUUUUGGAUAUUAUUGGUGCAAUUGUUGGACAAAAUGACUUGCAGUGGUAUUAAUUGCACUAAUAGAGCGUCCAAGGAGUCUCCACUUUUUUUCGGGAAGGACCUGAUUGGUGUCCAGAACCUGCUGAAGAAGCACCAGGCUCUGCAGGCUGAGAUAACAGGUCAUGAACCUCGCAUCAAGGCUGUCACCCAGAAAGGAGAGACCACAGUGGAGGAAGGUAGAGCAGGUCUGGUCCUGACAUGUUUCUGAGGUGUCUGCAGGUUCUGGCUCACUUUGUUUGGGUCCAGGUCACUUCGCUGGUGAGGAAGUGAAGACUAAACUGUGGGAGCUUCAUGGACGUUGGGACAAGCGAACAUCUCCACACCUUUUUUGUGUUUGUGUGACUUUAGGUUGUUUUACUUGAACUCGCGUCUUUAGCUGAAUGAGGAUGGAGAGACGGGUCGGACCUGGAGCAGGUCGAGGUCUUGCAGAAGAAGUUUGACGACUUCCAGAAGGACCUGAAGGCCAACGAGUCCCGCCUGAGGGACAUCAACAAGGUGGCAUCUGAACUGGAGUCAGAAGGUCUGAUGGCUGAGGAGGCUCCUAUGGUUCAGGCUCAGCAACAAGAACAUCUGGGUUCUGCUCCUGGAAAGACCGUACGGUUGGGCGUUCAGACGACGGCUAACUUUAAUUCCAUCAAGGAGCUGAACAACCGCUGGCGCUCGCUGCAACAGCUGGCUGAAGACCGGAGCAACAUGCUGGGCAGCGCCCAUGAGGUGCAGCGCUUCCACAGAGACGCUGAUGAGACCAAAGAGUGGAUCGAGGAGAAGAACCAGGCCCUGAACACAGACAACUACGGCCACGACCUGGCCAGCGUUCAGGCUCUGCAGCGUGAACAUGAAGGCUUUGAGUGUGACCUGGCAGCUCUGGGUGAUAAGGUCCGCUUCCUGAUCGGUACCAGGACCCGGGUUGUCUCUGGAGACACGUUCUUCAUGGUUCUGGUGACUCCAGCCCAGCCGUUCCUGAUCAGCAAUCAGCGGGGUGCUUUCCUAUUUAAGGAUUCCUGUCGACCUCAUUGGAUACUGACCUCUACUCCAGGAUUUGGAUAUUCAACACACGGACCUUAUCACCACCCUCCAUAACCCACCUCUCAUCUCACCCAGUGCCCCAUCCACCAGGACGCCCCGCUUCUCUCCACCUCUGCUCCCUCUCCUGCGCUUCCCCCGGCUCUCUACCUCUCCCUCCUCCAGCCAACACGUACACCCACCACAACGCUGAGCUGUUGUUGCAGUUCCAACCACAGACUUAUCUGUGCACCUUAAGUUCCUCCUUAUAAAUAAAUCAUUUUUUCCAUCA